rnacentral:sRNA from 1 species
AAACUCAGGAGUGAUUCUGCUGCCUGCAAUUGUAAGCGAGAAAACAUACCAGUUAGUAACAGAUUUCAAUGAUAAGUUUGAAGAUAGUGACUACCAGAUUUCAAAACUGUUAGUAGUGGGUUUUAAGCCUAACUCAACCCCACAAAACCGGCUUGUAGGGUGAGGUUUGCACCUCACUUAUAUAUUAUAAUUUGGCCUUAUCUCUAGUCGAUGUGGGACUUCCAACAAAAACAAUAGUACAAAGUCAUAGAAUCCUUUAAGUAAUGCAGGUUUACUCAACAAAUGAAUAGAACGAAAAAGGUCCUAUAAUUCGGUGAUAUAUAGCAGUCAAAGACUAAAAUUCAUCAAGGUGCAAAGAAGGACAAGAGGAGCAGAAGAACAAACCAGAGCCUGUAUGAGAAUGUGCA